UCUGCAGUAGAUGCCUUUCCUGCAAAGGACGCUGAAAAGCGUGAGAUGACACUGAUGGAUGAAAUGGAAGCUCGUAUAGAGCGUGAGAUGGAACUGCUGGAGCAACUGGAAGGUCGCUACACAUCAUGUUCUGCAGGGUGUCCAGCGGGAACGUACUGCAAUACGGCCCGACGCCAAUGCCUUCCUUUUUAAUCACUAAAUAACCCGACAUGUGGCCCGACGGAUUCUGAAUCAGUUUAAUACAUUUUGUGGUUGUGGGUAUUCUUCUUAUAACUGAAUUACUUUGUUUCGUUGAUUUUAGGCCCAAUUUUAUGCUAAUUUGGAAAGCGCUUUAUGUUUUAUAUAUGCUCAAGUAAAAAUAACGUUAAGGCCCUAUGUAGGUACAGGUUCAAUGUAAGGCAAUGGCUUAGACUUGUAAGAUCAAUAUAAAUCCAGUGCUGUUAUACAAUUACAAUUAAUACCAAAGUUGUAAAAUGUCUC